UUUUUGCAGUGCUUCCUCUCCUCUUUAUUUUCCUACUGGGCUUCAUUGCGGAACCAUCUGCCUGUAUGGGAUCUGGGUACUGCUCAUUGGGACCCUUUUCACUAAUAAAACGCUGCAACAAUAUGUUAUUUAUUAGAUAAAAUACAACUAUGAAAUAUUUCAGUAUUGUAUGUACAUGUUAAAAUAGAAAGCAAGGACAUCCAAAUGUUUAUUACUCAC
rnacentral:lncRNA from 1 species